UUAUUCAGCAAUGGGUAAGUAGAGUGGCGCACGGGUGCGUAAUGCGCGGGUAAUCUACCUUACAGACGGAAAUAACACUUCCAACGAGGUGCUAAUGUCCGAUGUUGCAAUUGGUUCGCAUGAACUGAUUGUGAAACCUACGGGGCUGUAAGAUGAGCCUGCGUCCCAUUAGGUAGUUGGAGAGGUAAAGGCUCCCCAAGCCGACGAUGGGUAGCUGGUCUGAGAGGACGAUCAGCCACACUGGAACUGAGGCACGGUCCAGACUCCUACGGGAGGCAGCAGUGAGGAAUAUUGCUCAAUGGCCGCAAGGCUGAAGCAGCAACGCCGCGUGAGGGAUGAAGGAUCUAUGGUCUGUAAACCUCUGUAGAUAAGGAAAAAUAAUCCAUUAAAUGGAGAUGAUAGUACUUAUAGAGUAAGCCCCGGCUAACUACGUGCCAGCAGCUGCGGUAAUACGUAGGGGGCGAGCGUUGUCCGGAAUCACUGGGUGUAAAGGGUGCUCAGGCGGGUCAGUAAGUCAGGGGUGAAAUUUCACAGCUUAACUGUGGAUGUGCUUUUGAUACUGCUGGUCUAGAGUUCAGGAGAGGGCAAUGGGAUUCUUGGUGUAGCGGUGAAAUGCGUAGAUAUCAAGAAGAACAUCUGGUUGCGAAGGCGGUUGCCUGGCCUGUAACUGACGCUCAAGCACGAAAGCGUGGGGAUCAAACAGGAUUAGAUACCCUGGUAGUCUACGCUCCUAAACGAUGAAUACUCGGUGUCGGGUCGAAAGGCUCGGUGCCUAAGCUAACGCUUUAAGUAUUCACUGGGGAGUACGAUCGCAGGUGAAACUCAA
rnacentral:rRNA from 1 species